GGGCCCGUGGUCUAGCGGCUAGGACGUUCGCCUCACGCGCGAGAGGUCCCGGGUUCAAAUCCCGGCGGGCCCAC
rnacentral:tRNA from 1 species